rnacentral:rRNA from 1 species
GCUAGUAAUCGCGAAUCAGAAUGUCGCGGUGAAUACGUUCCCGGGUCUUGUACACACCGCCCGUCACACCAUGGGAGUCGGGAAUGCCCGAAGUCAGUGACCCAACCUUUGGAGGGAGCUGCCGAAGGCAGGUCUGAUAACUGGGGUGAAGUCGUAACAAGGUAUC